rnacentral:rRNA from 1 species
GACGAACGCUGGCGGCGUGCUUAACACAUGCAAGUCGAACGGAAAGGCCCUGCUUGUGUGGGGUGCUCGAGUGGCGAACGGGUGAGUAACACGUGAGUAACCUGCCCUUGACUUUGGGAUAACUUCAGGAAACUGGGGCUAAUACCGGCUAGGAGCUCCUGCUGCAUGGUGGGGGUUGGAAAGUUUCGGCGGUUGGGGAUGGACUCGCGGCUUAUCAGCUUGUUGGUGGGGUAGUGGCUUACCAAGGCUUUGACGGGUAGCCGGCCUGAGAGGGUGACCGGCCACAUUGGGACUGAGAUACGGACCAGACUCCUACGGGAGGCAGCAGUGGGGAAUAUGGCACAAUGGGCGGAAGCCUGAUGCAGCAACGCCGCGUGCGGGAUGACGGCCUUCGGGUUGUAAACCGCUUUCGCCUGUGACGAAGCGUGAGUGACGGUAAUGGGUAAAGAAGCACCGGCUAACUACGUG